GGAGAGUGCUUUCAUUAGAGAGAACCUGGAGACAGGUGCUGCAUGGCUGUCGUCAGCUCGUGUCGUGAGAUGUUGGGUUAAGUCCCGCAACGAGCGCAACCCUUGCCUUUAGUUGCCAGCAGUUCGGCUGGGCACUCUAAAGGGACUGCCGGUGUCAAACCGGAGGAAGGUGGGGAUGACGUCAAGUCCUCAUGGCCUUUAUGGCCAGGGCUACACACGUACUACAAUGGCCGGUACAAAGGGCAGCGACAUUGCGAGAUGGAGCGAAUCCCGAAAAGCCGGUCUCAGUCCGGAUUGGAGUCUGCAACUCGACUCCAUGAAGUUGGAAUCGCUAGUAAUCGUGGAUCAGCAUGCCACGGUGAAUACGUUCCCGGGCCUU
rnacentral:rRNA from 1 species